rnacentral:rRNA from 1 species
UACAGAGGUCUCAAGCGUUGUUCGGAUUCAUUGGGCGUAAAGGGUGCGUAGGCGGCGCGGUAAGUCGGGUGUGAAAUCUUGGAGCUUAACUCCGAAACUGCAUUCGAUACUGCCGUGCUUGAGUACUGGAGAGGAGAUUGGAAUUUACGGUGUAGCAGUGAAAUGCGUAGAUAUCGUAAGGAAGACCAGUGGCGAAGGCGAAUCUCUGGACAGUUACUGACACUGAGGCAGCGAAGGCCAGGGAGCAAACGGG